rnacentral:rRNA from 1 species
UACGGAGGGGGCUAGCGUUGUUCGGAAUUACUGGGCGUAAAGCGCACGUAGGCGGCUUUGUAAGUUAGAGGUGAAAGCCCGGGGCUCAACCCCGGAAUUGCCUUUAAGACUGCAUCGCUAGAAUUGUGGAGAGGUAAGUGGAAUUCCGAGUGUAGAGGUGAAAUGCGCAGAUAUCGGGAGGAACACCGGGUGGCGAAGGCGGGAUCCUGGGCCAGUACUGACGCUGAGGAGCGAAAGCGUGGGGAGCAAACAGG